GGGCCCCAGGGACUGUGCCAGGGAAUGAACGGGGAGGUGUCUGGGCUCCAUGAUUGGUGGAUGCCUCCCAGAGUCAUCUCUGGGCCCCACCAGCCCCUUUCCUCACCCUAAAGCCUUGUCUGUCAUCACUGGCUGGCAUGGAGUCGACUCCGAUUGGGGGUUGAGAUGAGCAGGGCAGGAAAGCAAGCCCCCUCGCGCCCUUGAGGAUCUUAGUGGGCAGCUAGUAGCGAGAAUGCAGCAUGUGCAGGCAACUUCACCACUUCUGCAGCUGGAAUGCCCCCCGAGCCUACCCGUGCCCACGUUUGUGUGACUCCAGACACGAGACACCUGCUUUCUCUGCCUUCCGUGUUGGCUAGAGACCUGGGAAGGACACGUGCCACAGCCCCCAGGCUUUGUCUUCAUUUUUCCAGGUCACCAGCUCCGCAUCUGUGAAGCCUCCUGGCCUCCUCCAGGUGUGGAAGACUCCCAGCAGUUGGGAAGGAAAAACCCAGAUGUGGCUCUAGGCCGCGUGGGGGCCGGGGGAGAGGUCACCACCACCUCAGAGGAACGAGAUCAUCUUUCCAGCAAGAUGGAAUCUGUCCCAGCCCUGCCACUAAUUAGCUGUGUGACCUUGGGCAAGUCACUUAACCUUUCUGGG